rnacentral:rRNA from 1 species
AGAGUUUGAUCCUGGCUCAGGAUGAACGCUAGCGACAGGCCUAACACAUGCAAGUCGAGGGGCAGCGGGGGCGAAGCUUGCUUUGCCUGCCGGCGACCGGCGCACGGGUGAGUAACACGUAUGGAACCUGCCCGCCACAGGGGGAUAACCGGUAGAAAUGCCGACUAAUACCCCGUAUGCCCACAGGGGCGCAUGCCCUGGUGGGGAAACAUUCAUGGGUGGCGGAUGGCCAUGCGGCGCAUUAGCUAGUUGGCGGGGUAACGGCCCACCAAGGCGACGAUGCGUAGGGGUUCUGAGAGGAAGGUCCCCCACAUUGGUACUGAGACACGGACCAAACUCCUACGGGAGGCAGCAGUGAGGAAUAUUGGUCAAUGGGCGAGAGCCUGAACCAGCCAAGUCGCGUGAGGGAUGACGGUCCUACGGAUUGUAAACCUCUUUUGUCGGGGAACAACAGGGGGCACGCGUGCCUUUGUGAGUGUACCCGAAGAAAAAGCAUCGGCUAACUCCGUGCCAGCAGCCGCGGUAAUACGGAGGAUGCGAGCGUUAUCCGGAUUUAUUGGGUUUGAAGGGUGCGUANGCGGCGCGUCAAGCCGGUGGUAAAAUUGCGGGGCUCAACCCCGUAGAGCCAUCGGAACUGGCGUGCUUGAGUGGAGAAGAAGUAUGCGGAAUGCGAGGUGUAGCGGUGAAAUGCAUAGAUAUCGCGCAGAACUCCGAUUGCGAAGGCAGCGUACUAUUCUCCAACUGACGCUGAGGCACGAAAGCGUGGGGAUCGAACAGGAUUAGAUACCCUGGUAGUCCACGCAGUAAACGAUGAAUACUCGCUGUCCGGCACGAACGGGUGCUGGGCGGCCAAGCGAAAGCGUUAAGUAUUCCACCUGGGGAGUACGCCGGCAACGGUGAAACUCAAAGGAAUUGACGGGGGCCCGCACAAGCGGAGGAACAUGUGGUUUAAUUCGAUGAUACGCGAGGAACCUUACCCGGGCUCAAACGCACGUUGAAUGGCGCCGAAAGGAGUCAGCCGGCAACGGCAAUGUGCGAGGUGCUGCAUGGUUGUCGUCAGCUCGUGCCGUGAGGUGUCGGCUUAAGUGCCAUAACGAGCGCAACCCCCAUCUUCAGUUGCUAACGGGUGAAGCCGAGGACUCUGGAGAGACUGCCGGCGCAAGCUGCGAGGAAGGCGGGGAUGACGUCAAAUCAGCACGGCCCUUACGUCCGGGGCGACACACGUGUUACAAUGGCGGGGCACAGCGGGAUGCCAGGUGGCGACACCGAGCGGACCCCGAAAACCCGUCUCAGUUCGGAUUGGAGUCUGCAACCCGACUCCAUGAAGCUGGAUUCGCUAGUAAUCGCGCAUCAGCCACGGCGCGGUGAAUACGUUCNCCGGGCCAUUGUACACCACCGCCCCCGUNCAAGGGCUGAAAUUCGUAUUCAAACCCUGACAGGANCUAGUCCCCUUUAAGUGAGGGUNAAUUCUGGCUGUAGUCUGG